rnacentral:rRNA from 1 species
UACGUAGGCAGCAAGCGUUGUUCGGAAUUACUGGGCGUAAAGAGUGUGUAGGCGGUGCUCCAAGUCUGGUGUGAAAUCUCCCGGCUUAACUGGGAGGGUGCAUUAGAAACUGGAAUGCUAGAGGAUGGGAGAGGUAAGCGGAAUUCCUGGUGUAGCGGUGAAAUGCGUAGAUAUCAGGAGGAACACCUGUGGUGUAGACAGCUUACUGGACCAUUUCUGACGCUGAGACACGAGAGCGUGGGUAGCAAACAGG